rnacentral:rRNA from 1 species
UACGUAGGGUGCGAGCGUUGCCCGGAUUUAUUGGGCGUAAAGGGCGCGUAGGCGGCUCGGCACGUCCGUUGUGAAAUCGCCCGGCUCAACUGGGCGGGGUCAGCGGAUACGGUCGAGCUUGAGCAAGCUAGGGGGUAAUGGAAUUCCCGGUGUAGUGGUGGAAUGCGUAGAUAUCGGGAGGAACACCAAUGGCGAAGGCAGCUUGCUGGGACGGUACUGACGCUGAGACGCGAAAGCGUGGGGAGCAAACAGG